rnacentral:lncRNA from 1 species
CACUAAGCAGGGGACACAGGAAGUAGUUUCUCUUUUCUUCCACCUUGCCUCUGACACCUCAGGGCAGUGAAGGCUUUGAUAUGCGUGAGGAGGCAUCGGGUCAGCAGAUGGAGGAGUCCAGGCCCUGUUCUAGGCAAGAUAAGUACUCUGAGUGAAGUUUGAGGGAACCACCCACCACAGAUUGGAGGGACUCCCACAGAGUCCAACCCCUGAUUUCAGCCCUGUUAGAUCCCAGACAGGGAUCAUUUGAUUUAGUACCUUCUGAAUUCCCUCAGUGAGGACUCUGGGAGCUGAGAGUCAGCAGAUGGAGGCGUCCAGGCUCUGCCACACGUUAAGGUGACCCUUUUUUGAAGUGAGGAGGUCAUUGGACACUUUCUUGAAGGAGACAGCAUUGUGGAACAUUAAAUAGAUGUCACUAGUCAUCACCUCUAAAUUGUUGGCCUGAUCUUGGGUGUUCUAAGUUGACCCUUAGACAACUUGGGUUUGAACUGCAUGGAUCUACUUAUACAUGGAUUUUCUUCUGCCUCUGCCACCCAUGAAACAGCAAGACCAACCGUUCCUUUUCCAUUUUUCUCCUCAGCCUACUCAACACAAAGAAGAUGAAUAUGAAGACCUUUGUGAUGAUCCACUUCACUUAAUGAAUAGUUGUAGGCAAAGCCAGCUGCCAUUUCAUAAGAACACUCAGGCAACACUAUGGAGCUGUUCAUUGGCAAGGAAAUUAGUUCUCCUGCCGUAACCAGCAAGGAACUGAAGCUCUUGCUAACAGCUAUGUGAAUUAGUUAUUUUGGAAGCAGAUCCUCCAACUCCAGUCAAGCCAGCUGACAUACAGCACUAGCUGACAUCAUGAUUGCAACCAUGUGAGAAGAUUCGGGUCAGAGCCACCCAGAUGCUGAAACCUGAAGUCAGCAGGGAAGUCAGGAAGAGGAGAUGAUGCAAAGCAGAGGAAGCAAGGAUAAAUGGAAUCCAUGAGGACUAUCUGGAGCUCUCAAGGACUGACUGGGACCCAUGUUGAUCUUCCACUGCCUCCAAACCUCCAAUUUCAAUGACAUCAAUGCCCUGAAAAAAAAAAGUGGGCGUUCUUUUUUAUGGAGCUGGUGAAGAAGGAGGAAGAUAUGAGGGAGAACUGGAGCAAUUGUGGGCCCAACUGCUGCCUCACACCAAGAGAACCCUGAAGGAAGAGGUGCCAGGAGAGAUGAAAGGAAAUAUCAUGGGAAUGGAGUGCUGUUCAGCCUGCGGAAUGUCUGGAAUAUCUGAGAAGCAGCAGGACAACAGUCGAUGCCUCUAGUGGGAAUAAAAGUCAAUUGAAUAUCUACCAGACAAGAUAGAAUUUGCAUAUCCAUCAGUUACAAAGAGGGAAGAAGUAGCUCAAAGACAAUGAAAAGGACCAAAAUCUGAUAAUCCAUAAAGGUAGAUCUAUAGUGAGAAGCUGAACCAUAACUGAAACACUGCUAAGGAAGCAUGGGAUGAUGAGAGAAGACACAUUCAUCUUAGGAUGUAUUCGUUAACCAUAAGGUAGCUUAAACACUCAUCCUCAUAAUAGUACCACAAUAAUAUUUAUGAUAAAGACUUACUGUUCCCUAGACAGUGCUUGGGUGAGUUCCACACACAUUUCCUACUUCAACUCUUCUUCUUUAUUUUCAUUGGCAAUGAACCCCAACCUAAACCACUUCUAAUAUAACUUAAUACCUUCAGUUAAGC